UACGUAGGUGGCGAGCGUUGUCCGGAAUUACUGGGCGUAAAGCGUGCGCAGGCGGUUUUGUAAGCCAGAUGUGAAAGCCCCGGGCUUAACCUGGGAAUGGCAUUUGGGACUGCAAGGCUGGAGUGUGGCAGAGGAGACUGGAAUUCCUGGUGUAGCAGUGAAAUGCGUAGAUAUCAGGAGGAAUACCGAUGGCGAAGGCAGGUCUCUGGGCUGACACUGACGCUCAUGCACGAAAGCGUGGGGAGCAAACAGG
rnacentral:rRNA from 1 species